UAAAAGUACGUGUUUGAUUAAUUAGGGUUUGUUUGGGUGAACUUCUAGGAAAAGAUCUUUUUCCGAGUUAUCUUUUUUUAAAAGAUCUUAUGGAAAAGUAAAAGUAAUUUUAUGUUUGGAUAUCUCAUACAAAAAGAUCUUUUUAUCUAUCAAUUAU